rnacentral:rRNA from 1 species
CUGCUGCCUCCCGUAGGAGUUUGGGCCGUGUCUCAGUCCCAAUGUGGCCGGUCACCCUCUCAGGUCGGCUACUGAUCGUCGCUUUGGUGGGCCGUUACCCCGCCAACUGGCUAAUCAGACGCGGGUCCAUCUUAUACCACCGGAGUUUUUCACACACUACCAUGCGGUACUGUGCGCUUAUGCGGUAUUAGCAGUCAUUUCUAACUGUUAUCCCCCUGUAUAAGGCAGGUUACCCACGCGUUACUCACCCGUCCGCCGCU